AUUGAACGCUGGCGGCAGGCCUAACACAUGCAAGUCGAACGGUAGCACAGAGAGCUUGCUCUCGGGUGACGAGUGGCGGACGGGUGAGUAACGUCUGGGAAACUGCCCGAUGGAGGGGGAUAACUACUGGAAACGGUAGCUAAUACCGCAUAACGUCGCAAGACCAAAGUGGGGGACCUUCGGGCCUCACACCAUCGGAUGUGCCCAGAUGGGAUUAGCUAGUAGGUGGGGUAAUGGCUCACCUAGGCGACGAUCCCUAGCUGGUCUGAGAGGAUGACCAGCCACACUGGAACUGAGACACGGUCCAGACUCCUACGGGAGGCAGCAGUGGGGAAUAUUGCAAAAUGGGCGCAAGCCUGAUGCAGCCAUGCCGCGUGUAUGAAGGAGGCCUUCGGGUUGUAAAGUACUUUCAGCGGGGAGGAAGGCGGUGAAGUUAAUAGCUUCACCGAUUGACGUUACCCGCAGAAGAAGCACCGGCUAACUCCGUGCCAGCCGCCGCGGUAA
rnacentral:rRNA from 1 species